AUGGUUGUGGAGUGCCUCACUAAAAUGAUCAAGAAUGCCCAGAACAAUUAUCUUAUUGUUGGGUUAGCUUCGGAUCUAAUUCUACAUGGAGUUGCAGUACUUCAAUACACUGACGACACAAUUAUCUGUCUAGAGCAUGAUAUUGAUAAAGCUGUUAAUCUUAAACUCCUGUUGUACAUGUUUGAAAUGAUGUCUGGCCUCAAGGUUAAUUUUCACAAGAGUGAGAUAUUGACCGUUGGGGGGGGGGAUGCCCAGACAACCAAGGCUUAUGCUGAGCUUUUCAAAUGUGAUAUAGGCCAAUUCCCUCUUAAGUACCUGGGCAUGCCGGUGAGCUACACGGCCUUGAGAAAUUCUGACUGGGAUUUCAUUGUUGAUAAAUAUCUCCUUAGAUUCGAUGCCUGGGUUGGUAAUGCUGCCUCUAUGGGAGGGAGACAUACUCUCUUAGACUCGAUUGUUACUCAGCUCUCUCUUUACCACAUGUCUAUGUGGUUGAUGAACAAAUCUUUUGUGGAAAAAUUGGAUAAACAUAGAAGGAGAUUCUUCUGGCAGGGGUGUAGUAAGAAAAGGAGAUAUCACCUGAUCAGAGGGAGUAGGAUCUGUAGAUCUAAAGACAAAGGGGGGCUGGGUAUUAAAGACUUGCGCAAGCAGAAUAUUAGCUUGAUGCUCAAGUGGUGGUGGAAGUUAGAUACCCAGAAUGGAAUCUGGCAAGAUAUUGUCUGGGCUAGAUAUAUUCGCAACCAAUCUGUUGCAACUGUUAGUUCUCGUUUCUCUGACUCGCCCUGUUGGAAAAACUUGUUGAAAAUCAAAGACCUGUACAUGAUAGGCAAGAAACUUCAGGUAGGGGCAGGCAACUUAACCAGGUUGUGGAAAGAUUCUAUUAAUGGUUUAACUCCUUUCCAAGCUCAAUUUCCAAGCUUGUUUGAUAUUUGUGUUGACCAGGAUUGUACUCUAGAUAAACUGAAUUCCAUAACCUGUUCUAGCUUC
rnacentral:rRNA from 1 species